UUAGCGAUUUUCAUAUGGCAACAAAAAAAAAAUUCAGUUAUCAACUGAAAUUUCGAGGAAUUGUUUUUGUUUUGGCUUCAAAUUUCCUUUAAAAAGUGGUGAAAAUGUCGAAGAAACCUCUUCGAUCGCAAGCAAGAAGUAUUGUUUUCAAUGUUUAUCAAAGAAUACUUGAUCAACAAGGUGCAGGACAUGCACAAUCAUCGAUAUUGAGCUAUGUGCAAGUGUUGACUGGGGUUUCUAAUACUAUCAUAAGACGAAUUGUUGCCGAGGGCAGAUCUAACAGAGGCGUAUUUAGUACGCCCGGUAAAAAGAGGAAAGGU